AGAGUUUGAUCCUGGCUCAGGACGAACGCUGGCGGCGUGCUUAACACAUGCAAGUCGAACGAUGAAGCUGGUGCUUGCACUGGUGGAUUAGUGGCGUACGGGUGAGUAACACGUGAGUAACCUGCCCUCAACUUCGGGAUAACUGCGAGAAAUCGUGGCUAAUACUGGAUGUUUACACAUGUCUGCAUGGGUGUGUGUGGAAAGAUUUUUUGGUUGGGGAUGGGCUCGCGGCCUAUCAGCUUGUUGGUGGGGUGAUGGCCUACCAAGGCGACGACGGGUAGCCGGCCUGAGAGGGUGACCGGCCACACUGGGACUGAGACACGGCCCAGACUCCUACGGGAGGCAGCAGUGGGGAAUAUUGCACAAUGGGCGAAAGCCUGAUGCAGCGACGCCGCGUGAGGGAUGACGGCCUUCGGGUUGUAAACCUCUUUCAGUAGGGAAGAAGCCUUUCGGGGUGACGGUACCUGCAGAAGAAGCGCCGGCUAACUACGUGCCAGCAGCCGCGGUAAUACGUAGGGCGCAAGCGUUGUCCGGAAUUAUUGGGCGUAAAGAGCUCGUAGGCGGUUUGUCGCGUCUGCUGUGAAAACGCAAGGCUUAACCUUGCGCCUGCAGUGGGUACGGGCAGGCUAGAGUGCGGUAGGGGAGACUGGAAUUCCUGGUGUAGCGGUGGAAUGCGCAGAUAUCAGGAGGAACACCGGUGGCGAAGGCGGGUCUCUGGGCCGGUACUGACGCUGAGGAGCGAAAGCAUGGGGAGCGAACAGGAUUAGAUACCCUGGUAGUCCAUGCCGUAAACGUUGGGCACUAGUGUGGGGUCCUUCCAAGGGUUCCGCGCCGUAGCUAACGCAUUAAGUGCCCCGCCUGGGGAGUACGGCCGCAAGGCUAAAACUCAAAGGAAUUGACGG
rnacentral:rRNA from 1 species